GAGAGCUUAGCUUAAUAGGUAAAGUAUGUGACUUUUAAUCACCAUGAUAUGGGUUCGAAACCUGUAGCUCUUA